UACGAAGGGGGCUAGCGUUGUUCGGAAUUACUGGGCGUAAAGCGCGCGCAGGCGGUCUUCCAAGUCAGUGGUGAAAGCCCGGAGCUCAACUCCGGAACUGCCAUUGAAACUGUUGGACUUGAGUACGAGAGGGGUGAGUGGAAUUCCCAGUGUAGAGGUGAAAUUCGUAGAUAUUGGGAAGAACACCGGUGGCGAAGGCGGCUCACUGGCUCGGUAACUGACGCUCAGGCGCGACAGCGUGGGGAUCGAAACAGG
rnacentral:rRNA from 1 species